rnacentral:rRNA from 1 species
UACGUAGGGUGCAAGCGUUGUCCGGAAUUAUUGGGCGUAAAGAGCUCGUAGGUGGCCUGUCGCGUCGGCUGUGAAAACUCGGGGCUCAACUCCGAGCUUGCAGUCGAUACGGGCAGGCUAGAGUUCGGCAGGGGAGACUGGAAUUCCUGGUGUAGCGGUGAAAUGCGCAGAUAUCGGGAAGAACACCCGUGGCGAAGGCGGCUCUCUGGGACGGUACUGACGCUGAGACGCGAAAGCGUGGGGAGCGAACAGG